GGUCUCGCUAAGUUGUUAAAUUGCUUACCCUGGGCUCAAACUUGUGAUCCUCCUACUUCAGCCUUCCAGGGUGCUGGGAUGACAGAACGCUCUCCCAGGACCACCAAGUAAAGAAGGAGCUGAGCAUCCUGAAGAAUCAGAAGCCACAUAGAAGACAACCAAGGGACCCAGCUGCCAGCCAGUACCACCUACGACCUGUUUGUUGGUGCCCUUGCUGAUGAAUUCUAUAAACGACACUCAUGGACACUGAUGAGAAUCUGAUAGUCCUGUGGAGAGCAAAGAGUUGAUCCUGAACCAGUGCUGGGGAUUGAAUCCAGGGCCUCACACAUGUUAAGCAUGGCUGUACCACUGGGCACACCCCAGCCCUGUCCUGGCUUCCCCACUACAGAGGCAGUGAUGAGGGGGAAGAGCCUGGAUGCUGUGUCACCCAGACAGACUCUCUCCUGCAACUUCUGCUGUCCUCCACUACACACAACUAGAGGCCAGGUGAGCCACCCUUCAUUCAUUCAGGAGGCAGCUGUGACUUGGGGCAUCUCUCACCCUCCCUCACCCUCGAUUUCUUCCUGCAGUAACAGCCUCUCAGGGCCAAUGGGAAAGUUAAAGAACCAGAACUGCAUAGCUGGUGCUCAGUAAGUGGUCAAAAUAAGUCUUGAAGAGUCAGUGCCUG
rnacentral:lncRNA from 1 species